UUUAUAGUAAAAUCUGCUCAAUGAAUAUUUCAAUAGCCGCAUAUUGUGCUAAGGUAGCAUAAUCAUUUGUCUUUUAAAUGAAGACUAGAACAAAAGAUUUAACAUUUUAAUUUAUUUCUUUAAUUUAAUAAUCUAAAUUAUAUUAAAAGUAAAAAUACUUUAAUAAAAAAGAAAGACGACAAGACCCUAUUGAACUUAACUUUAGUUAAACUGGGGCAGUUAAUUAUUUAAUAUUUUAAGAAUAUUAUUGAUAUAAUAAUCCAAUAUAAUAGAUAAAUCAGUUACCAUAGGGAUAACAGCGCAAUUACUUUUUAAAGUUCUUAUCACAAAAGUAGAUUACGACCUCGAUGUUGAAUUAAUAACCUAAAACCAUAAAGCAAAUUUUAUUAAAGGAAGUCUGUUCGACUUUUAAACAAUUACAUGAUUUGAGUUCAGACCGGUAUAAGCCAGGUCGGUUUCUAUCUUCUAUAAAAUUUUAUACAGUACGAAAGGACCUAUAAAUAUUUUAUUAUAAUAUUGGCAGAAUAAUGCAUUAGAAUUAGAAUCUAAUAAAACUUAA
rnacentral:rRNA from 1 species